CCUACGGGGGGCUGCAGUGGGGAAUAUUGCACAAUGGGGGAAACCCUGAUGCAGCGACGCCGCGUGAGUGAAGAAGUAUUUCGGUAUGUAAAGCUCUAUCAGCAGGGAAGAUAAUGACGGUACCUGACUAAGAAGCCCCGGCUAACUACGUGCCAGCAGCCGCGGUAAUACGUAGGGGGCAAGCGUUAUCCGGAUUUACUGGGUGUAAAGGGAGUGUAGGCGGUCUUGUAAGUCUGGUGUGAAAGCCCAGGGCUCAACCCUGGGACUGCAUUGGAAACUAUGGGACUAGAGUGUCGGAGAGGUAAGUGGAAUUCCUAGUGUAGCGGUGAAAUGCGUAGAUAUUAGGAGGAACACCAGUGGCGAAGGCGACUUACUGGACGAUAACUGACGCUGAGGCUCGAAAGCGUGGGGAGCAAACAGGAUUAGAUACCCCAGUAGUC
rnacentral:rRNA from 1 species